rnacentral:misc_RNA from 1 species
AACGCAUAUUGCACUCUCUGGUAUUCCGGAGAGUAUGCCUGUUUCAGAAUCAUUUAUUACUCUCAUGCUCACAUGGAGUUGGACUAUUUUGCCUUUCGAAAGGCUGGUCUAAAAGGUUGUCCGCAACAAAGGGAAUAAUAAAGCGUGAUGGUUGACCUCUUCGAGGUCGUCUUCGCUGCGUUUCUCUCUUUUUGUGAUGUAUCAGAUAUAUGGUUCAUCUACAUCAUCGAUGUAGAUAACAUAUCACAUCUUGAUCUGAAAUCAGGUAGGAUUACCCGCCGAACUUAA